AAGGUUUAAAAUAUAAAAAGAAAAGGGGCUAGAAAAUAAGGAAGAUAUUUUUUCAUAUUUUCACGGCUGACACUUUUUUCCAGAUGAUUCUCUCAUUCUGCCAUAAAAAGGGAGCCUCACACAGAUUUUAGGACACUUUUCAUUCCGCCUUUCAAAGAAUAUACAUUCUUCUUACUUUCACACAUUAGUAGCUAAAGAUAUGGGAUUUGCAAUCCAGAUUUGAGAAGAAAAAAAAUCAAAAACCAAAAAAAAGCGAGAGAAAUGUUCAAAAGAAAGCAGAUUCAGAGAUUAUUUUGUUGCUGCCUAUCAAUUAUUUUGUUGCUGCCUAUCAAUAUGUAGCUGAGUUCUUUAAUUCUGCUAAUUGUUUCUUAUCCAAAGCCAUAGAUUUAUUUUCUUCUCUUUAUUCUGCUGUAAGCUAGGUAUCUAACUCGACCAAGUAAUGUAAAUUCCAGUUUGUUUGAAGCCCAAAAUUGUUGACUGCUUUGCUGUGUUUCAGUGCUGUUAAUUUUUUUUGAUUAUCAUCAAGUUCUGUCUUGUUUUAUUAUUGUUUGGAAUGUAACUUGGUGUUAUAAGCUGAUUUACUGCAUGUAUCAUGUUAAACAAUGAUAUAAAAUAUAUGUAGUUGAUUUAAUCGAUAUGGGAUUAAUCGUCUACAUGAUUUAAUCUUUAGCAAUGAAGUUUAUAUGUUGUUACCAGUUAAAAUUAGAGGCUGCGAUAGUCAACACUUAAUAAGAUAGUUGUUCAAAUUGUAAAGUCUCGCAGUAGUAAAUAUUGUCUUCCCAUGCCUGCUAGAGAGCCCCUGAAAAUGGUGUUAGUACGCGAGGUAAUGGUGACUGUACAUAUGGCUAAAAUUCAGGGAUCCAUUUACUGACUGGUUUGGAUAACUCAAUAAACAUUGAAGCAAAAAGGGACCAAUUGUAUGUAGAUUUGAUGCUGAAAACUCUUAUCUAGUCUAGUUGUCAUUGUUACUUUAUUUCCAGAUCCACGUAGCUAUUUUUAAAUUGUAAUUAAAGUAACUGAUAUUAGGAUUCGAAAUUUAUAAUUCUUGAUGCUACAAAACUGCACUGUAUUUUUAAGUUUCGUAUAAGUAUGUGUUCGUCUUUAGAAGUGCAUGUUUGUUAUCCCUUAUCUAUCAUUGUGCAUGUCAAUCUUCGUUGAAAUGUGUUUAGCGACUUGGAGAAAUCUCGUCUCCAGUUGGCUAUUGAGGUUUCCAUCCACUUGGGCUUAAUUUCAGGCCCAUUUUGGUGUGUUGAUGCUUUAAAAAGGUUUUAGCAUGUUUGGGCUUCACGCCAAGGCCCAAAUGAAAUUUGCUUGACUCAUUGGAGGUCCUGUGUCAAGGUCUAGUAUAAUUGUGCCCAUAAUGUUGUCCUAGUUAGCCCACGAUUGGACUAAAAGAUUUUCCCCUUCAGAAAGGCCUCGCAUUACUGGGCCUUGCCUUAGGCCCAUUCUGUUUGUUUGGACCAGUUGAAGGCCUUAGUAAAAGCAGUUAAUCAAUUUAUUUAAGUCACUCCCAGCUACUCAUGUGAAAUUCCUCAACAAGUUUAGAUUGUGAUUUGAUUUUUACCCAUUGAUUUGUUCUAUUGGUACAUCAGUAAUCAACUCAAAAUUCCACAACCUAAAAAAUCGCUAUCACUAAGUUCACCAUUAUUAAAUGUCUAUCUUUAUAUGUACUCUAUCCAAAAUAAAUCCAUAACCGAUAACCUUCAUGUUUCAUCUCACACUUAGGAAAAUAACAAAUUAUGAACAUUCGUAAUUUACUUUAGGCACGUUUAAAUAAAUCAUCGUGACUAUGGGUAAAGUUUCCCUGGCAUAGUCAUCAUACAUAACCCCAAUAUCAGGUGCACGUUCGCGUGACUUGAACCCAACUUCAAAUAAUAAUAAAAUAAACAUGUCAUAAAUUAUGGGUGCGUUUCACGCGACGUGAUUUGCGAUAUGUACAAAAACGAAAAGUGCACGACAUCGCGACUUGUUUAAAUAAAUUUUAUAAUUGUUUAAAAUAAUUAAAAGCGGUAUAGAAGCAGUAAUGCAUAAAAGGUUUAAAACAUAUAAUAAUUCAGAUAAUUAAGCCAAAUAUUAAUUGUUAAGUGACCGUGCUAAAACCACAAAAUUCGGGAGUGCCUCAAACCUUCUUCCGGGUUAACAGAAUUCCUUACCCGUUCUUCUAUGUUCGCGCACCAUAAAUAGAGUCAAUUUUCUUGAUUUGGGAUUUUAAAAUAAACCGGUGGCUUGAAACACCAUAAUAAAUAUUUUGAGUGACGACUCUAAUUAAAUAAAUAAUUCCAUUUCGAAUAAUAUCACUUUAAUAGGAAAAACUCCUUAUCUUCGAAAAAGGGAGGUGUGACAUCUCUGGCGACUCAACUAGUGAAAUGAACCCAGAAUAUCUGGUUCAGGGUUCAAAAUUCGAGCUUAGAAUAACUGUUAUACUUGGCUUUUGUGAUUAUCUGAUAUUACGUGUUUGGGCCUAAUGUGCUAAUCGUCGCUCUUUACUGCUUUGAUAUUGUAUGAACUGUAUAUAAAACUGUUACGACACUCUUCUUCUCUCUAAGUCUUCUAAAUCUUUUGGGAAGCAUGCAUUUCGUGUGACUUCUUUUCUGUUAGAGUGAUACCCCUAAUUUUAGAACAAGGAUCGGACAAGUUGCAAAGCCGGUGAGCUUCUGUAUUCCCGGCUCGAGUUGUCCCCUCGGGUAAGCCUUGUCUAGAACUCCACACCUUAAGGUUUAAACUUAGAAGAACAAAGCCACAUGCCGGAUCCCUAGUAGGUACGCUUGUUUGCAUCAUGCGCAUUUGACUUUGGCGACUCAACACAGGGGUUGGGUCCGUCUAGGACAGGUGUACCCCAAUAUAAAAGACCAUCCUGGUGUAUCUUAUGUGCUACUUGUUGCAUUUGUUUAUUCUUGUUUGCAUGUCGACUAGCUUCUAGAAUAGGGAAAGAAAAUCAGAGAAAAAUAGGAGAGAGAAAAUAAGCGAGAGAAAUUUACCCGGUAACUGAAAAUCUCGAUUUUUGAAAAAAAAAAAAGAAAGAAAAAUCCCAAAACUCUGCUGAAUUUUUAGAAGGUUGUUACGGAAUGAGUCCAAAUCUUCAAAGAAUAACCUUUUCCCUAAUUUUGAUAAUCCCCCAGAACUACGAAGGCCUGAUUCUUACCGAAUGUGAGAUACUUAGGCAACCCUCAUCAGGUCCGGCUCAUUUUUGCGAAAAUAACCAAAAAAAAGAAUAUGGCAAUAUUUUUGAAACAUGGUCAUCACCCUAGGACGUUCUUGUCAAAUAACCUCAAAAUAUUCUCUCAGGAUGUUGGAAGGCUGUUUUCGCAAGAAUAGCCACAAUGUACACCCGAGUCAGUCUUUUCCCCAUAAUCAACACAAUUUGGCAGAAAAAAACCCUAAAAACAUUAUUCAAGCGCUUAAGGGUCGUAGUUUCAAAAACAACCCCUUGUUUUGUCACUGAGUUAUUAAACUGAAUUUUUAAAUUUAGCCACUUUGUGUUUUUGAAAAACAGUGUCAAUUUUGAUCAUUUGCCUUAAAUUUGCGUGCAGAAUGAGCAUACCUUUUCGAGUUAUAGAUGAGAUUCCAUUAAUACUCCACAUAUGGUGGAAUGAUCUGGGGGAGGUUAGUCACCGUUUCGUGACCAAGGCAUUAGGUUAUCUCACCGGUCUUUUAAUGAUUAAGCCCAGGGUCGAUCUGAUUGAGGCAUUGAUACCAUUCUGGGACCUAGCACAUAAUGUUUUCCAUUUCUUAGAUUUUUAGUUGACCCCUACGCUGGAGGAGAUAGCCAGUUAUGCCGGAUAUGACAGGAGUCGUAGUCAUCAAUAUCUGUUAGCCCCAAGAAUUGUGAUCCCUCACAGAUUUUUGAACCUUUUGAGCAUUAACCGACAGGUUAAGAAUGAAAGUUUGGCCGAUGGUUACUGUACCUUCCACUUCUAUAUAGCCGGUACAGGGACCCUUACAGAUUUGAGGCUCUAGACACUGGUUUGUACCAUCAAGGGAAGAAAAACAAGUGGGAGUCGCGUAGAGGUUUAGCCUUCAUAGUCGCAUUCUUGGGCACUUUGAUAUUCCCAAGAAAGGACGGACAUAAAAAGUUGGAACUUGUAGGGGUGGUUGACUUUUUGGUCAAGAAGGCCAACGGUACUCUCGUGCCGAUGAUUCUCAUAGAGAUCUAUCGAGCUCUAACCACUUGUCGAGCUAGCGCAAAAUAUUUUGAGGGUUGUAAUCUGUUAUUUCAAAUGCGUCUAGUGAAGCAUGUUUGUUUUCGCCCAAGAUACAUGAACUAUGGGCUAACCGGACUCAGUUGCAUCGAGGAGUACGAAACCAGGGUAACUGGCUAUGAGCUGCCGGAGGUUACUGAGUCUUAGUUCACACAUCUGGGUUCGCUAACUACAAAUCAAAUUGAGUGGACUUUCAGUUGGCUUUCGGUCAAAGAAGUUAUCUACAUAUCUGUCGACGUGUACUUUCUGCUAUUGAUGGGUCUUCGGAGUAUUCAGACUUACGCUCCAUAUCGGGUUCUACGCCAGUUGGGAUGGUAUCAAACGGUCCCUCAUGAUGAGGAUCUGAGUACACAGGUUGUUGAGCUACGCCCAGGGGUUGCUUUUCCAGAAGAAAAGGUCUUCCAGAUUUGGCAUCAAUGUAGGUUUCUGGUUCCACAGACUCAGGUGCAAAAUUUAUCAUCCGGGGAGGUAGAGUCUAGCUAUAUGGAAUGGUAUGGUAAGAGAGCUUGGGUCAAUCAAGAGCUAGAACAACGUGCAAGAAGGCCCCAUGUCCACCAAUUCACAGAGGGGGCACAAGAAUAGUGGGUUUGGUUAGCCAAAGAGAAAGAAUACCGGGCCACCAUCAGCAAAUUAGAGAAUCAGGUCAAAACCAUUAAAUUUGAAAGUGGUUUGCAAGCUGCUGAAGAUGAGAGAGAAAAGAAAAUGUUAGCUCAAGAAAAUGAAUCCCUCCGAGCUCAGCUCCGGGAAAUUAGAAUAGCCGCUGAGACGCCUAUAAGAAGUGAAAGGGAUCAAAAGAUCAUGGGCAACUUGAGGCAAAAAGUGCACGAAUAUGCGGCCGAUCUAACAAAGCCGAAAAUAAUUUAGCAAAAGCUCAUGCAUGUAUGGUCUAGUUCGGGAAAGAUGCAACAUAGCAUACAAGGUUAGCCCGCCAGGCAAAGCAAAGUUACGACAAAAAAGUUGCAGUUUAGAGGAAAGAGUCAUCUGCUCUCGAAAACGAAAUGGGUCAUGGAUUAACAAAUUGGAGGAGAGUGUGUUGAUUUUGAAAAACCGAAACAACAGGGCAAUGCAAGUAGUGGAAAUUCGGGAACAACAAAUUGGAAAAUUGCUCCAGGAGAAGGGUGCUAUUAAGCUUAGAAUCAAAGAAUAUGACUAGAGCUAUGUUCUUUGCUUCACUGUUGUCUUUCGCUCGCCAGGUCAUGGUCGACCUAGAGUUCCUUUAGGAUGAGCUUGCAAGCGGGCCCGCGCCGAGACUGACUGAAGUCACCGGGGCCCCUGGAAUAACAUUUGAGAGUCAUAUGUGUUCUUAAUUGCUCAGUCAUCGAGUAUGAAGUUUACCUUUUUCUCGCAUCGAGUCUGUUUGUCCUUCGUCCAUUUUGAGUUUGUUGUUAUUUUGCUUCGAGUCUGUAUGUUAUCCUUUUAAAGUCAGUUGUCAAUGUUUUCGAUUCCUUGUAAUGAAAAACCCCAAAAGAUUUUAUUAAUAAAAUAUUGAAAACUCCAAAAACAAAUUCAUUUAUUUUAUUUCCCUAAACUACGUAAUGGUCUGAUUCAUGCAGCGUUAUGAUAUGUAGGCAAUCCUGUCGGAUGCGAUCAUAGCCAUAACUAAUCUGAGCAAAAAUCAACAAAAGAAAGAGUGACAAAAGCGAAAGAGAAAAACCAGGAGUGACAAAACAAAAGAGAAAAAGAGAGCUGGAAAUGAAAGAAAAGAGUUACAACGUGGAAAAGAGAUAAUGAAUGCUGGGAUGAAACACGUAACUGUUCAAACACAUCGUAGAAGCGUUUAAUAGUUUAGGUGCAUUGCAUCCCAACGUGCGAUUUCCUACAUGUUAAAAUGUUUCAAAACUAACUAGGUUGUUGUGCGUGCAAUUUAACUAGGUUCUAUUCAGGUGGUUGAUUUUUUUUGGUAAUCUGGCUUCUCAUCCCUAUUUCACAAGAUCCAAAGGAAAGAUUAUCAUGGGCUCUGAAAGCAAUCUACACAUUAUCAACCCUGAGGAUAGCCCGACACCGGCUAUUUCAUAACCCAAAUCAGCAACUGUUGAUACAAACAAGAUGUUGCGUCUCUGCAUGUGUCACGACCCGGAAUUCCCACCGUCAGGACCGUGAUUUGCUAGGCAAGCCGACGUUAGAGAAUUAUUAAGCCAUUCCUUAUUCAAUUAAGAAAUAAUAGCAAAUAAGCUAAAACGAAAUACAGCGAGUGCGGAAUGAUAUAAAAACUUCAUUAAUUACUACUACCCAGAUUUGGAGUCACAACUCACGAACUUCUAGGAUUUACUGCAAGUAAAAGUUUGAAAGAAAUACAACUGUUUGAAUGAAAGAAACAAUAAAGAAAAAAAAAUAGAAAUAAUAGACGGGGACUUCAAAUUCUGCGAACACCAACAGAUCUACCUUGAGUCUCCGAUGAACCAGUCCGAGCUGCUACGCCUCUCGAUCAGCUGGGACGAAUACCAAAAUUUGCACAGGAAGUGCGGAGUGCAGUAUCAUUACAACCGACCCCAUAUACUGGUAUGUGUCGAGCCUAACCUUGACGAAGUAGUGACGAGGCUAUGACCAGACACCUACAUAACAAACCUGUGCAAUUUAACAGUAUACGUACAAAUAACAUCUAAACAUGUACUAUUAGGAGGGGGAAACAUGCUGAGGGGAAUACGAGAUAGAGAACUACAGUAGAAUGGUAACUUUAACAACCAAUAUACUAUAAACCAAUAAGAACAAGUAAGCAAAGUAAAGGAAAAAUGCAUGGCAUCACCCUUCGUAAUUUUACUCUCAACCUUACCAUAAAAUUAAUAGAAAUGGCAUGGCGUCACCCUUCGUGCAUUAACUCUCAUAACAUGGCACGACAUCACCCUUCGUGCAUUAACACUCAUAAUAUGGCACGACAUCACCCUUCGUUCAUUAACACUCACAAUAUGGCACGAUAUCACCCUUCUUGCAUUAACACUCACAAUAUGGCACGACAUCACCCUUUGUGUAUUAACACUCACAAUAUGGCACGACAUCACCCUUCGUGCAUUAACACUCACAAUAUGACACGGCAUCACCCUUCGUGCAUUAACACUCACAAUAUGGAAUGUCAUCACCCUUCGUGCAUUAACACUCACAAUAUGGCACGACAUCACCCUUCGUGCUUUAACACUCUCCCUUACCAUAAUGCACUGAAAAAAUAACAACAGGGAGAUAGAAUAACAAGUACAAGCCUUACUUCAACAUUUGGUUCUACAAUAUCAACCUCAACUUCGGAAUCAAUACUCAAUUAUCACCAGAAGAUUCGUAAACAUGAUAAGAAGGAUCAAUUUAGCAAUACUAGUCUAAACACGGAUAACAUAAACAAGGAGGCUAUAAUUGCAAGAAACCAAGCCCCAACCGCAUGCUUUAACCCGACUACAACGCAUAAGUACUCGUCCCCUCACAUAUACGAUGUUUCCAACAUUUAAACAUGUAGCAAAUAGACAAACAAGUCUUAUGCCCUUAAGUUAAGGUUAACCGUGAUACUUACCUCACUCCGAAGACCAAACUCAAAGCUCAACCACUGCUUUUCCUUUCAAACAAGCCUCCGAACCAAUAGAAUCUAGCAAUUUACCAACCAAACAAUUCAAAUUAAGCCUUAGGAACUACCCACNNNNNNNNNNNNNNNNNNNNNNNNNNNNNNNNNNNNNNNNNNNNNNNNNNNNNNNNNNNNNNNNNNNNNNNNNNNNNNNNNNNNNNNNNNNNNNNNNNNNNNNNNNNNNNNNNNNNNNNNNNNNNNNNNNNNNNNNNNNNNNNNNNNNNNNNNNNNNNNNNNNNNNNNNNNNNNNNNNNNNNNNNNNNNNNNNNNNNNNNNNNNNNNNNNNNNNNNNNNNNNNNNNNNNNNNNNNNNNNNNNNNNNNNNNNNNNNNNNNNNNNNNNNNNNNNNNNNNNNNNNNNNNNNNNNNNNNNNNNNNNNNNNNNNNNNNNNNNNNNNNNNNNNNNNNNNNNNNNNNNNNNNNNNNNNNNNNNNNNNNNNNNNNNNNNNNNNNNNNNNNNNNNNNNNNNNNNNNNNNNNNNNNNNNNNNNNNNNNNNNNNNNNNNNNNNNNNNNNNNNNNNNNNNNNNNNNNNNNNNNNNNNNNNNNNNNNNNNNNNNNNNNNNNNNNNNNNNNNNNNNNNNNNNNNNNNNNNNNNNNNNNNNNNNNNNNNNNNNNNNNNNNNNNNNNNNNNNNNNNNNNNNNNNNNNNNNNNNNNNNNNNNNNNNNNNNNNNNNNNNNNNNNNNNNNNNNNNNNNNNNNNNNNNNNNNNNNNNNNNNNNNNNNNNNNNNNNNNNNNNNNNNNNNNNNNNNNNNNNNNNNNNNNNNNNNNNNNNNNNNNNNNNNNNNNNNNNNNNNNNNNNNNNNNNNNNNNNNNNNNNNNNNNNNNNNNNNNNNNNNNNNNNNNNNNNNNNNNNNNNNNNNNNNNNNNNNNNNNNNNNNNNNNNNNNNNNNNNNNNNNNNNNNNNNNNNNNNNNNNNNNNNNNNNNNNNNNNNNNNNNNNNNNNNNNNNNNNNNNNNNNNNNNNNNNNNNNNNNNNNNNNNNNNNNNNNNNNNNNNNNNNNNNNNNNNNNNNNNNNNNNNNNNNNNNNNNNNNNNNNNNNNNNNNNNNNNNNNNNNNNNNNNGUGAUUAGUUUUGGAAUCCGACCUCAAUUUGAGGUCUAAACCCCCAAUUUACCAAAUCCCUAAUUUCUACCCAAAAACUUCCAAUUUCCACCAUGAAAAAUUUAUAUUUUAGGUUGAAAACUUGUGAAAUGUAGUGAAAGAUUGAAAGGAAAUAGGUUAGAAUCACUUACCAAUGAUUUGGGGAAGAAGAAGUCUUGGAAAAAUCGCCUCUAAUGUUUUAGGUUUUGAAAAUUUGAGAAAUGAACCAAAAAUCCAGUCUAAGUCAUAGUUGUUCAGCUGCAGAUGUCGCAUUUGCGACCUGGGCUUCGCAAUUGGGAAGCUCGCAAAUGCGAAGAUUUCAUUGCAAAUGAAAGAAACAUCACACCUGUGCAUUCUUCGCAAAUGCUCAGAAUAGUUCGCAAAUGCGAACUCAGGCUUGAUCGUAAAUGCGAAGAAUGGCUAUGUUUGCUGCCUUUGCAAAUGUGAACCAGUGUUCGCAAAUGCGGACUGCUAGGAUCGCAAAUGCGAUCAAAAAUUCGCAAUUGCGAAGGCCUUCCCCCCAGCCCACUGCUCGCAAAUGCGAUGGUCACUUUGCAAAUGCGAGGCUCGUAUUUGCGAGCCAGAUCUUACAAAUGCAAAGUCGGCGGAUCAGUUGCAACAACUGUUAUAUUUUUUUUGUUCAAAACACUCUGUAGCCUAUCCGAAACUCAUCCGAGCCCUCGGGGCUCUAAACUAAACAUGCACACAAGUCCUAAGACAUCAUAAGAAAUUGCUCGCGCGAUCAAAUCGCCAAAAUAACACCUAGAACUACGAAUUGAACACCAAAUCAAAUAAUAUUUUCAAGAAAACUUAAAACUUCUAUUUUCACAUCCGAACAUCCGAAUCACGUAAAACUAACUCCGUUCCUCACCAAAUUUUACAGGCAAGUCAUAAAUAUAAUAAUGGACAUGUACUGGGCUCCAAAACAAAAAUACAGAUCCGGUAUCAAUAAAUCCAAACAUCAGUCAAUUCAUAAUUAUCAUGAAUCUUUCAAACUUUCAAUCUUCAACAAAAAUCAAUAACUCGGGCUAGGGACCUCCGAAUUCGAUUUCGGGCAUACGCCCAAGUCCCAAAUUACGAUACGGACCCACAUGGACUGUCAAAAUACGGAUCCGGGUCCAUUUACUCAAAACGUUGACUGAAGUCAACUUAAAUGAAUUUCUAAGGCAAAUAUUCUUAUUUUUAUCAGUUUUUAACAUAUAAGCUUUCCGGAAGGACACUCGAACUGCGAACGCAAAUCGAGGAAGGCUAAAAUAAAUUUUUUUAGACAUUGAAACACAGAAUUAGGUUCUGAAACCUAAGAUGACCUAUCGGGCCAUCACAACAUGUUUGAAGUGUGGGACGCCUGGUCUAUUGGUAGGGAAACUCCAAGUGUAAUUCCUGGGUUCCCUGAGUUGAUCCUAAGGUCGGGUGGGGAUACCAACGUCCCUAUGACCAACCUGUUUUUCCCGUGUGGGUACCCUACAAUGUCAUCUAACUUUCCCGGCAUGCCUUCUGUUGUUCGACCCCAGGCACCAAUUUUUGGGGCACCUCUAGCAUUGUUCUCCGCAGCGCUUGUCUUCACUACGACAUAUCCAAUUGUGCCCAGGCCAUAUUUUUAAUCUACAACAUUCACAUUUCAGGGUCCCCAAAUUUAGCAGGAUAUGACUUACAUCACUUCGGACUCGUACACCCAAUAUCCACAGUAUGAGCUUCCGGCUGAAUCAGAAAGAACAGUUAAAAAUCCCGAGCAUGAAGAAAUAGCCCGAAAAAUGAAAAGCUUGGAGCAGAGUUUGAAGAACAUGCAGGGCCCGAGUGGCCAAAUGAGUGUCUUCUACUUCGACUUGUGCAUGUUUCCAAAUGUUCAUAUGCCAGUUGGUUUCAAAAUGCCAAAAUUUUAAAAGUACGACAGGCACGUAGACCCGAUCGAUUAUUUGAAAAAGUAUUGCAAUUAGUUAAGAGGGGCUGGUGGAAAAGAGGAACUCUUAAUGGUAUACUUCGGAGAGAGUCUGGCAGGGAUCGGUUCAGAGUGGUACAUGACCAGGAAAUCACUCAUUGGCACGUAUGGGAUGACCUUGCUAGAGAUUUUAUCUGCCAAUUUCAAUACAAUGUGGAUAUUGCUCCAGACAGAAAUUCUCUAGCUAAUCUAAAGAAGAAAUCCACGGAAACUUUAUGUGAAUAUGUCGUUAAAUGGCGCGAGUAGACCGCCCGUGUGAAGCCACUGAUAGAUGAGACAGAAAUGGUCACGGUCUUAUUACAAGCCCAAUAGGCUGAUUAUUUCCAGAACAUGAUAUUCGCCAUAGGAAAACCAUUUGCUGAAGCCAUAAAGAUUGGGGAAAUGGUUGAGAACGGGUUAAAAACAGGACGGAUAUUGAGUCAAGCCACCCUUAAAGCUACACCACAAGCCAUUCAUAAUGGCUUAGGGGGUCUGGCCAAUCGCAAAAAGAGAGAAGAGGGAGCCAUAAUGGCUUUGAGCUCAAGGGGGUCUCACUGAUCAUUUAACAAUACUAAUAUGCCACCAUGAACCCCACAACAUUACUACCCGCACAAUGAUGCUAUGUACGUUGUGGCACCACCUCCAUAUGCAGUGAUGAAUGCACAACCCUACACACGGCCCAAGUAAAACUACAAUCAAAAUUGAGCUUCACCUCCUACAAAUAACCGUCCUUACCAAACUCCAUAUAAUCCUUACCCACCACAAAAUAUACCCCAAUAUAAUCCACAUUCCCGAGAGCCGCUCAGAAGAAAUAAUUUCACCCACAUCGGUGAAUCCUACUCUAGUUUACUCCAAAAGUUAAUCCAAUUAGGUUUAUUGAAACCUGUGGCUCCCAAUCGGCUGUAUCCCGAGUGUCUAACAUACUGGGCCAAUGCCAGAUGUGCAUACCAUUUAGGGGUGGUGGGCCAUGAUACAGAAGAUUGUUGGACCCUCAAGAGGGAGGUUGAAGACCUGAUUGAAGCAAAAAGAAUUGUGAUGAGGGACGAGGAGGUCCCUAAUAUGACCAAUAAUCCAUUGUCCACUCACAAUAACGGGCCAAUUAUCGGUAUGAUCUAUGAUGACAAAGUAUUUGACCUGGCACUGAUGGGCAUUGUUGCUAUUGCUAGCUCAUAUGUAAAACUUAAAGUAGCAGCAAAACCAGCCAUAACCAAAAAGAAAAUAGCUCCGGUCCCUGGGGCCAUUGAAACGAAAGCUGAGCCGACACCUUCCAAGAAUUUUAUUCUUUACGUUCCAAAAUCCCCGAGAAAAGAAAAGCUUGUCCUCAACACUAUGAAGAAGUUUGAUGAAAGGAAAUUUACAUUGAAUGUGCAAAGGUUGUAUAUAUCGAAGGAAACUCAUGUGGCGCUGGGGUCGGUAAUUAUUCCAAGGCUGAUUGAGCCCGUGGUUAUCAGUCCUACACCACAGAGUCCCAUGAAAGAUCCUACUACGGUCCCUUGGAAUUAUAGCAAGACACUUGUCACUUACAAAGGGAAAGAAAUAAUGGGGGAAGUGAAUGAGAUGACUCGGUCUGGGAGGUACUAUACCCCGGACGAGCUAAGAAAAUCCAUACAGAAUAGGGACAAACAAAUGCCACCCAAGAAACUCGUGAGAAAUGAAGAAGCGGAAGAGUCUUUAAAAAGAUGAAAACUUUAGAGUACUUGACAGUCGAACAACUCUCGAAGACUCCCCCCCCCAGAUCUCACUCCUAUCUCUGUUGUUGAGUUCAAAUGAACACCAAAAAUUGCUCCUCAAAACUUUGAAUGAAGGGUAUGUCCCAGUUGAAACUAUUGUCGAACAAUUGGAAAGAAUGGCCUAAAGAUAUUUUAAAGUCAAUAAGAUCUUAUUCAUCUGUGAUGAUUUUCCUGCAGAGGGAGCUGCCGACAACAAGGCCCUCCACCCGGUUGUUAAAUACGAGGGCUACUAUGUGAAAAGGGUGAUGCUGGAUGGAUGGUCUGGAGUUCAUAUUUGCCCUUUCUCAAUGCUCAAGAGGAUUUAAAUCGGCACAGAAAGAAUUCGGGCCAGCAAUGUCUGUGUACGAGCCUUUGAUAGGGUCAAGAGGGACAUAAUCAGAGAAAUUGAUAUAAUCUUAAGUAUUGGCCAUGUUGACUUCAAGGUGACCUUCCAAGUCUUGCACAUGGAAACCUCAUACGAUAUCCUUCUGGGUAGACCAUGGAUUCAUGCUGUCGGAGCUGUUCCUUCCACUCUCCACCAAAUGGUCAAGUUUGAAUAUGAUAAUCAAGAAAUCAUUGUCCAUGGAGAAGACGAGCAAUCUAUUUAUCGGGACCCCUCAGUCCAGUGUCUUGAAGCCAGGGAAGGUAGUGAGCACAUUGUGUAUCAUGCUUUUGAAAGUGUGGUUGUUGACUAGUUUGAAGAGGGGACCUCGCUACCUAAACCUUGUUUGUCUAAUGCUUCAAUCACUGUUGCCACCCAAAUGAUCAAGAAUGGGUACAAGCCCGGAAAUGGGCUCGGAGCAUCUCUGCAAGGCAUUACUGAGCCCAUUUCCUCGGUCGUCAAUGAGAAGUCUUUUGGGUUGGGUUUCUGAGCUACAGAGGCCGAUAGAACAUGAGCUAACUACCACAAAGAAAAUGGGUGGGUCCUGUCCCAGCACAUUCCACAUCUCGCUCGAUUAUUUGUCAAACAAAAGUAUGUGGAGAAAGAAGAAGAGUCCUUCACGACUGAAGAAAUUGAUGAUAUCUGCAGAGCUUUGGAACAAAUGCUAUACAAAUCCCACAUGGUCUAGCCAGGGGAAGGCACAAGCCGUGCCGAGGUGCAGUAUAUGGGACUAGAUUUCAAGCUCCAGAACUGGAAGGCUAUCCCGUUCCCCGUUAGGCGGGAAUCCUGGUAGUUCAAUCUUGCCAUUAUUUCUGCAUUAUGAGUUAUUUUAGUGUGUAACUCGAAUAUUUUACUUUAUUAUCUUUUAAUUCUAUGUAAACCCUCCUAUCUUUCAAUUCAAUGAAAUGAAAUCAAUAUUUCAUCGUUCAUAGAUGUAUCUUUUCCUUUGUUAUGAUUUUGCUAUUUUUCUUAUCUUUUUCUUUUCAUUUCUAAUAACGUGGACUUUAAUAACAUGACAUGCUUGAAGACUUCAUGCCCAGAUCCUAAACAGCUGUCUAAUUUUGAAAUAAUGAAUCGAGAGCCAGAAUGUGAUGAAGAUGAGGCUUUUAGGGAAAUAAAUCGAGAAAUGGAACAAUUUGAGAAUAAUCUUAAGCCAAACAUAAAUGAAACUGAGCCAGUUAAUUUGGGAAAUUCAGAAGAGGUCCGAGAAACCAUGAUAAGCAUUCACUCUAAUGAGGGAACUAGAGAUGCCUUGAUCCAACUUUGUUUGAAUUCAAAGACGUGUUUGCAUGGUCUUAUGAUGAUAUGCCAGUGCUGAGUGUUGAUUUUGUGGUACAUAAAUUGCCUACCUAAUCCGGUUAUCCGCCCAUCCAACAGAAGCAAAGAAAGUUCAAAACUGACAUCAGUGAUAAGAUCAAGGAAGAAGUCACUAAACAAUAGAAAGCUAGUGUAGUCCGAGUGGUUCGAUACACCACAUGACUGGCUAAUGUCGUACCGGUGCCAAAGAAAGACGGGAAAACCCGUGUUUGUGUUGAUUAUCGAGAGUUGAACAAGGUGAGUCCCUAGGACAACUUUCCAUUGCUAAAUAUCCAUAUUCUUGUUGACAAUUGUGCUAAACACGAGAUACAGUCUUUCGUGGACUGUUAUGCUAGGUAUCACUAGGUUGUGAUGGAUGAAGAAGAUGCAGAAUAGACUUCUUUCACCACACCAUGGGGCACUUACUAUUACAGGGUCAUGCCGUUUCGUCUGAAAAAUAUCGGGGCAACCUAUAUAAGGGCUACGACUGCAAUCUUCCAUGACAUAAUACAUCAAGAGAUUGAGGUAUAUGUGAAUGAUGUGAUCAUUAAAUACAGAAUGCAAGAAGACCAUGUGCGAGAUCCGAGGAAGUGCUUUUGAGCGUCGGUGCAAUUACGACUUGAAAUUAAACCCAGCUAAUUGUGCAUUCGGAGUUCCGUCUGGGAAACUCUUAGGGUUUAUAGUCAGUCGGAGGGGUAGCGAAUUAGAUCCGACAAAGAUAAAGUUUAUUUGGCAUUUACCACCUCCGAAAAGCAAGAAAGAGGUCAUGAGUCUGCUAGGGAGACUGAAUUACAUCACCAAAUUCAUCGCUCAUCUUACCACCACUUGUGAGCCCAUAUUCAAGCUAUUGAAGAAAGUUGCGACAAUAAAAUGGACAAAUGAGUGUCAAUAAGCUUUUGAUAAAAUCAAAGAAUAUCUGUCAAAUCCGCCGGUGUUGGUUCCGCCCGAACCAGGAAGACCUUUGUUCUUAUAUCAAAUAGUCUUAGAAAAUUCUUUCGGCUGUGUCCUGGGGAAAGACGAUGUAACCGAGAAAAGAGAACAAGCCAUAUAUUAUCUGAGCAAGAAGUUCACCAAUUAUGAAGCCAAGUACACUCUAUUGGAAAGAACUUGUUGCGCCCUAACUUGGGUCGCCCAAAAGCUGAGAUAGUACUUGCUGGCUUACACAACAUAUCUCAAAACCAUAAUGGAUCCAUUGAAGUAUAUUUUCUGGAAGCCAAUGCCCACUGGAAUGUUGGCAAAAUGGCAGACCCUGCUCGCACGACAAUUAAAGCUCAAGCCUUGGCGGAUCAUUUAGCUAAAAACCCGGUCGAUGAUUAAUACCAAACAUUGAGCACUUACUUUCCGGACGAAGAAGUAAACUCGGUUGAAGUAAUUCAAGACAACAACAAUGCCUAGAAAAUGUUCUUUGAUGGGGCUGUAAACACAAAAGGUGUAGGGAUUGGAGCAAUUCUGAUCUCACCCACAGGUUAACACUAUCCGGCCACAGCCCGGCUUCGGUUCUUUUGCACAAACAACACUGCUGAGUAUGAAGCCUGUAUCGUGGGUAUGAAUAUGGUGGUUGAUCUGGUGUACAAGAGUUAUUAAUCAUGGGUGAUUCUGAUUUAAUUAUCUGGCAAGCCCAAGGUGAAUGGGAAACUCGAGACAUCUAAAUCAUCACGUACAUGCAACAUGUGGAAGAUCUUAGUAAAUAGUUUAAGUCCGUUGAGUUCAAGUAUAUUCAUCAUUUCCACAAUGAGCUAGCUGAUGCACUAGGCACUCUGGCUUCAAUGUUGCCAUACCCGACUAAUGUUCAUAUUGACCCACUAGAAAUUCAGGUUCGAGAAAGGCAUGGUUAUUGUAACGCGAUUGAAAUGGAGCUAGAUGGUGAGCCAUGAUAUCAUGAUAUCAAAAGGUUUUUGAAAAUAAAAGAAUAUCCUGAGCAGGCCAGUGGAGAUCAAAAGAGAACUAUCAGAAGGCUUGCAAGCAGUUUCUUUUUGAGUGGAGAGAUCCUAUACAAAAGAAUUCCAGAUCUGAAUCUUUUGAGGUGCAUAUAUUCUCGAGAAGCUGAAAGGAUCAUGCACAAACUGCAUUAGGGAGUGUGUGGGCCUCACAUGAAUGGGUAUGUCCUUGCAAAGAAAAUCCUCCGGGUAGGUUAUUACUGGAUGACUAUGGAAAAAGAUUGUUUCAGUUUUGUCCGGAAAUGCCAUAAGUAUCAGAUACACAGUGACUUGAUUCAUGCACCGCCUUCAGAGUUACAUCCUAUGUGAGCGCCUUGGCCGUUCAUUGCCUGGGGCAUGGAUGUUAUUGGGCCAAUCGAGAAAAAAGCUUCAAAUGGGCAGAGAUUCAUCUUGGUUGCCAUUGAUUAUUUCACAAAGUGGGUCGAUGCAGUCACCUUCAAAGCCGUCACUAAGAAAGAAGUGGUGGGCUUCGUGCAUUCCAACAUUAUUUGUCAUUUUGGUAUUCCUAAAACUAUCAUUACGGACAAUGCUGCAAAUCUGAACAACCACUUGAUGAGGGAGGUAUGCAAACAAUUUAAAAUUACGCAUCAUAAUUCUACCCCUUAUCGGCCCAAAGCUAAUGGGGCCGUUGAAGCUGCAAACAAGAACAUCAAGAAGAUCCUUAGGAAAAUGGUUCAGGGUUCCAGACAAUGGCAUGAAAAGUUACCUUUUGCACUAUCGGGAUAUCGCACAACCAUGCGCACAUUAGUUGGGGCCACUCACUACUUAUUGGUUUAUGGCACUAAAGCCGUGAUACCCGCAGAAGUUGAGAUUCCCUCUAUUUAGAUCAUUGUUGAAGCCGAGAUCGAGGAUGAUGAAUGGGUCAAAACCCGGCUGGAAAAAUUGACCAUGAUUGAUGAAAAGCAAUUGGGCCCUAGAGUGGGAAAACUUAUUCUGAGACGUAUUCUACCACAUCAUAAAGAAGGUAAAGGAAAAUUAGUCCCAAAUUGGAAAGGUCCAAACGUGGUAACAAGAGUGCUGCCAAAGGAAGCACUGUAUUUGGGAGACAUCGAAGGAAAUGCCCCCGAGACAGCUGUUAAUGCAGAUGCGGUCAAAAGGUAUUAUGUUUGACCCUUUACACAAUUUUAACAUUCUCUGAAUGGGAUGACGAAGACUUUCUUUCUCGCUACCCAAACACCCUCAACCCUUUGCAAAACCUUUGAGCCGGUUCUCUUUCUUUGAUCACCCUUUUUGGACGUGGAAAUUAUUUAUAAAAAAAAAAGAAUAAAAAAAACAAAAAAACCAAAGAAAAUCAAAAAAAAAGUUCAUGUAAUUGAUCUACGUUUGACCUGAUUUUGAAAGGAUACGUAGGCAGCCUCUCUCUAGGGUUCGGUCACAUCAAAACAAAAAUCCACAUCCCCCCAAAAGUAAAAACUGGGGCAGAUGUUACAAUGUUUCGGCGAUGAUUUCACCUGAAAGGUUCCAAAGUUGUAAUUCAAUACAAAAUUCUUUUAACCCAAAUCAGCGAGAAUGUUUGAAAAUUGGUGAUUACAGUUACUUGGAUCUGAUGCAACCAAAAUCAGAGAAAUAAAAGGAGAGCGUCUUAUUGGUGAAAACCUUCACGAGCACCAUAAGGCGAUGGUGAGUAGAGAAAAUAAAAAUGAGAGAGUCUUGUAGUGAAAACUCACAAAGGGCAUUAUAAGGCGAUGGUGAGACGAGAAAUGAGAGAGGUCCGCUAGUGGAAACCCACAAAGGGCACUACUGAUCGAAAAGAGGAUCCUCACAACCAUGGCAUCAACAUAGUCAUGAGCAAGGUUUAUUGGUUUCAAGGAAAAAAAUGUGAUGAGUUUAUAAGAGUCGGACGGUUCAUACAGAUCAGACAUCCAGUCCAAAAGGCAUGUCAUGUUCAUUGAAGUCCGCAUGUACUCCCAGAUAAGUCCGUCUUUUUGUUCCCCGAAAGGGACACCUUAUGUUUAAACUCAUUCUCUGUUCUACUGCUUGUUUUUCUUUGAAUCCCUUUCGGUCUAAAUUUGUUCCAAAGCUAAGGAAAGCUGAUAUAUUCAAAAAUCACCUCACCUCGGCAAAGGCAUCAAGUCAACCCCGACUAGCCGUAGUGGCCAAUGCUUGAAAAUAAAAAACUUUGGAAGAAGGAAGUCAAAUUGUAGUGCCUAUAAGGGCAAAAUGAAGUUGAAAAGGUUGAGUCCCAUGCGGCUAACCAUCUUGCAAAGUUUGAAAAGCCAAAGGUUCCCCAAUGCUCUGAAAUGGGAACUUUGAAUAAAGAAGUCAAAAGUUAAAUGCCCACAAAGGCAAAAAUAAAGUUGGAAAGGUUAAGCCCCGCUACGUGACUAGCUGUCAUGGAAAAAGUAUGAAAAGCCAAAGGUUCUCCGGGGUCAGAAAUGCAGUUGGUAUUCAGAAAACAACCAGCCGCAGUUGAAAUCAUCCUCGAAAGAAAAUAGGACGAGAUUAAGUGACUGAAACACUUAAGGCCACAAAACUUACCACCGUUUCGAACUAACAAUUGUUCUUUGUUGAAAAACAGAAAAACAUGGGCAAUCAAAAUACAACCUUGCACGAAGCAGGUGCAACCUUGUAGUAGAGACUAAAAACAGCUAUGCGGUAGCAAAAACUCUCAAAAAGGGAAGUCUUCUCAAAAUUCUUUCCCGCAUUUUAAUAAUUCUCUAAAACCAAAAAACAAGAGAAAAGAAUCAUAAAAAAAUUCAAAAGCAUGGUAUUAUAGGGUACACCAAUCCCUAGCUGCAUUUUCCAACGUAGGGUACACCAUUCUGUAGUUGAUGUUUUGGACAUAGGGUACACCACUGCCUAGUCUCCUUACCAGUAUAGGGUACACCAAUCCCUAGCUGUGUUUUCCAACAUAGGGUACACCACUCCCGAGUUGAGUUGAGCUUAAACGCAGGGUACACCAUUCCCUGAUAUCAUUACUGUUUGAUUGAGCUGAAAUGCCAGGUACACCACUCCCUGAUAUCAUUCCUAGACAUAGGGUACACCACUCCCUAGUCUCAUUACCGUUAUAGGGUACACCAAUCCCUAGCUGCAUUUUCCAAUGUAGGGUACACCACUCCCUAGUUGAUGAUAUUUUAGACAUGGGGUACACCACUCCCUAGUUGAUGAUAUUUUAGACAUGGGGUACACCACUCCGUAGUCUCAUUACCAGCAUAGGGUACACCAAUUCCUAGCAGUGUUUUCCAAUACAGGGUACACCAUUCCCUAGUUAAGUCGAACUGAAAUGCAGGAUACACCACUCCCUGAUAUCAUUACCAAUUGAUCUUAAAUGUAGGGUACACCAUUCCCUAGUUUUUUCCAUUAUAGGGUACAGCAAUCGCUAUCUGUAUUUCCCAACAUAGGAUACACCACUCCCUAGUUGAUUUGAUCUAAAUGCAGGGUACACCACUCCCUGAUAUCAUUCCAAAUAUAUGGUACACCAUUCCAUAUCCACAUUUUCCCAACAUAAGGUACACUAAUGCUUAGUUGAGACACCAUUUAAACAUUCAGGGUACACCAUUCCUAAAGAAUCAUACUUUCCUAGGGUACACCAUUCCUGACCUUUUAUUGUUUUCAAUAAUCGAGGAGUUUAGAAGUUGUUUUACAAAUAACUCACGAAUUUUUUCCUAGUGAAAACUAGGGCAGAACAAUUUCGUUCGUUUGUUUUGUUUUGGUGUCUGAGUAGGUUUUACCUUGAGGCACAGGAUCCCAGAUGACCAAAAGAAUAAAUCUCAAUCCAGAAUAAAGAAAAGAAAAGAAAAGAAGUAAAUCCAAAUACAGAAGUGGAUGAAAAGAUGUGGACUGCUCAAGACAUGAUUUUAAGCCACGAGCAUUGUAGUUGCCAUUUUGAUCAGAAGAAGCCGUAAAAGAAUGAACUAGCACCGGCAGCUAGCAAGCAUCAAGGUUCAUAUCAGAGUCUGCAUAAAGAACCAAUCAAGACUCAAGAUCAAGUUUCAAAGACUUAUAAAUAUGAAUCUUGUAACUCAUAGAUGAUAGGCUUGUUUAGUUUCAUUUAAUUUUGAUUUUGGUGUAAUAAGGAGUUCAACAGGCAGUAACAAUAGCACUACAGUGAAAUCAUAGCUUCCCGGUAGCCCCAACUACCAAAACUUCCAGAACUAUACUGACCUGAUUCUUUUAUAGCCAAGGAUAUGUAGGCAACCUCGGAAGCAAGGUUCGGUCAAACGUUUUCAAAAUGCUUCCCAUGGAGUGUGAAAUGGGAAAAUAUUAUUCAUAAUUGCUCACUUUAUCUUUGCCUGAAAACCCAUCAUGUUUUCGAGUAAAGAGAGGUAGUUGUGAACACAUAAUUUUUACCCAACGAAAAGUACUCCUACAAAAUCCACAAAAAUAGUUUUUCUAGUUGUCUUUGAUUUUUUAGAAUUUCUAAGAAUUUCUCUUUAUUUGUUUGUUUACAUUUAUUUGCAUUUUUAUGCAUAUUUAAUAUCUUAAAAUCAUACAAGAUCCAUAAAAAUGUUCAAAUCUUUAUUUCAUAGCAUUUUAGGUUUUAAUUGCAUUUGUAGGAUUUAAUCACAUAUUAAUUGCAUAAUUAAUACAUGAAAAUCAAAAAAUAUAUACAUUAGUCACUCUUGCUUUGUUUUGUAUUUUUAGAUUGAAUUAGUUAAUUGAUCAAUUAGAAAAUAGGAAAGUAGGUUAAUUUUACAAAAUUGGUUCGAUGUUGGAUUGUCUAAAUAAGUGGCCAAUUUGUGAAUUCAAAAUAAGGAAAAAGGAAAUGGUUGGACACCAUGCUUUGGCAUUGGGACAAGGCAAUUCCAAUAGCAUAAUUACCAUUUAUUACCUCUCAUACCCGCACCAGCCCAAUUCUUGCCCAUUAACCGGUUCAAUCCCACCCCAAUACCAAACAACCUCGCUUUCCCCCUCUCAAUCUUGGCUCUUCAUCUCAGCCAAUACAACGGUUGCGAACUGAUCUCCCUAAUCCCAUAUAACUGUCCUAAAGCCCCCCCAAACCCUAGAGACCCCUCUCAUUUCAUCAUCUCUCUCACCCUUAGCCGCCAACCACCCAUCGAAAAUCGUCUCCGUCGGCGGCACGACUCUAAUCAACCCUAAAUUAACACCAGACAACCUCCGUCUUCUCCUCUUUCCAAAUAUCCUAACUUAAUCCCUCAAUUCCCCGAAGAACUCUAUGAAUAACAGAUCUAGGAAUCCCUGAAAACCUAAAUCAAUCUUUUAUCGAUUUCUCUUUUGGCUCUUGGUCUAUGAGUUUGAAAUCGACAUCAAUCGAUUGCUCUUGACAAGAGAAAUCGAGUGAUGAUAUUUUUAGCUCAUUGUAUGACCGAUCUUUUGCUUCCUAAUGUUUCCGUUUUUGAUUCUCCGAUUGUCCAGAAUCGUUUUGCACGUCCCCUUUUAGCUCAAUAGGUGUAUGCCCCUUCUUCCCCCUUUCCAUUUUAUUUUCAAUUUUGUGUUUCAUCGUUUGUUUUGAAUAUUUUUCAGUCAAUUAAGUCAAUUAUGCAAAGUUAGUUUCUAAGUAAAUUGAUGUUUUACAAAUCAUCUUGAAUAUCAUUUUUUCUUGUUAGUUGUUGAUGCGUGUUUGAUUGCUAUGAAAGAGUUAUGUCUCGUUUAGCAUAAGCUUUUCAGUUCACUGUUAAUUCCUUGUUAAUCAAUUCAUGUGGUGUUUGAUUUGUUUAAUCAUUCAUUAGUUUUGUUUUCAAUAUAGUUUUGUCUUUUAGUAAUGUUUAAUCUUCAAAGAUUUGGUUUGUUUAGAUGGAUUUUAGAAUUAAUUGAGUUCUGUAACUUCUGAAAUUAUUUUCGUUUUGGUUUAGAAUUACUAAAAUUGGGAGAAGUGUUUGGUUUGUAGACCAGUUGGGUUUUGGUUCAUCAUUGGACUGGAUGGAAAAUUAAGGUACAUGCCAAAGUCUGUUAAACGUACCUGACCCAAUCUGGACCCAUUUGAGAGUUGAUAGUAGUAGAAUAUCAAUUCACAAAGCUGGGGGGGGGGGGGGAAUUGGGAAUUAAAACUUAAGGAAUCUUAGUUUGUAAUUGCCUAAGAAGGUUCUAGAGAUAGGGGAAGGGACUAUUUAGCAAUAACACAGUAAAAAUUAGGUCAAAAGAGGACAUAAGGUUUAAAAUACAGAAAGAAAAGUUGCUGGAAAAUAAGGUACAAUAUCAGAAAAGGACAGCUGUACCAAAACUAUUCACGACCUGAAAUUUCCCACCGACGGGACCGUGAUGGCGCCUAACAUUUCACUUGCUAGGCAAGCCAACGUUAGAGAAUCAUUAAACCAAUUCCUUACUCUCAUUCAGUAAUUAACAAUAAUUAACUAAGAUGAAAUAUAAUAAGUGCGGAAUAUCAUAAAACUGAAUUAAUUACUGCCACUCGGAUCUGGAGUCACAAUUCACAAGCAUUCUAGAAUUUACUACAAGUAAUAGUUUGAAAGAAAUACAACAGUCUGAAUGAAAGAAAACAGUAGGGCAUAAAAGAUAGACGGGGACUUCAAGGUCUGUGAACGCCGACAGAUCUGCCUUGAGUCUCCGGACAGCGGACCAAUAACAAAAUCUCGAUCAACCUGAGCCGGUAUCAAAAUCUGCACGGAAAGUGCAGAGUGUAGCAUCAGUACAACCAACCCCAUGUACUGUUAAGUGUCAAGCCUAACCUAGAUGAAGUAGUUACGAGGCUAAGGCAAGGCACCUACAAAUCAACGUGUAAAAUUUAACAGUGUAUAUACAAAUAACAUAAAUGAAGAACUAAACAGGAAUUGUCGGGAGGGGAACAUACUGAGGGGAAUAUAAGAUAAAGAACUACAACAGAAUGAUCACCGGAGCAGUCAAUAUACCAUGAAUCAACAUGAAUAGUGAAUACAGUGAGAAAAAAUGCACGGCAUCACCCUCGUGCUUUUACUCUCAAUCUCACCAUGAAAUUAAUAGAAACGACACGGCAUCACCCAUUGUGCAUUAACUCUCAUAUCAUGGCACGGCAUCACCCUUCAUGCAUUAACACUCACAAUAUGGCACGACAUCACCCUUCGUGCAUUAACACUCACAAUAUGGCACGACAUUACCCUUCAUGCAUUAACACUCUCCCUUACCAUAAUGCAAUGCAUAAAUAACAACAGGGAGAUAGAAUAACAAGUACAAACCUUACUUUAGCAUUUGGUUCCAUAAUAUAUCUCAACUUUGAAAUAAAACUCAAUUAUCACCAGAAAAUCCGUAAACAUGAUAAGAACGAUAAAUUGAACAACACUAGUAUAACACGUAGCAUAGGAAUUUGGCAUAGGAAAGAGACAAUAUAAGAAAAACAGAGAAACCUGGAAAACAGGUCAAUUGGCGGCACAUAAGUACUUGUCACCUCACAUAUACGCCGCUCACAUGGAUUUCACUUUGCAAGUAAUCUAAGGUUCCUAAUUCCCUCAAGUCAGGGUUAGAUACAACACUUACCUCGCUCCGAAGGCCACUUAAUUCUCAAUCACAGCUUUUCUUUUGGAAUUCACCUCCAAACCACUCGUAUCUAUUCAAAAAUGACUAAAUAAUAUCAAAUAUUGCUAAAGAAAUCAAUUAUAUUGCAUAAAUUAAAUUUCCCAUAAAUUUCCUCCAAAAAGUUAAAAAAUCGACCCCAGGCCCGCUUGGUCAAAAUCCGAGGUUCGGACCGAAUAUAUAAUUAGUUUUGGAAUCCAACCUCAAAUUGAGGUCUAAAUCCUCAAAUUCCCAAAAUCCCUAUUUCUAGCCUAACCCCUAAUUCUACCAUGAAAACUCUAGAUAUUUGGUUGAAUUCUUGUAAAAUGAAGUAAAAGAUUGAAAGAAACGAGUUAAGGAACACUUACCUAUGAUUUGGGGAAGAAAAUAUGUUUGAAAAAUCGCCCUAGGCCUCCUAUCCUUUUGAAACGAGAAGAAAAAUGGUUGGAGUCCGAAUUAAAUGAACUCACUGCCCAGCGACCUUCGCACAUGCGGUGCUUUGGUCUCACCUGCGCAUCCGCACGUGCGGACAGGACGUGCACUUCUGCGGAAAAGGACUGGGCCAACAAGGGCCGCACCUGCGACCAGGGUUCCACUUCUGCGGUCCUGCUCCUGCAGAGAGAAGUCUGCAUCUGCGAAAAAAUGAAGUCCAGGCCUGUGUCGCACCUGCGGGGCUAUCGCUUGCCCCUGCGAGCUCGCACCUGCGACCAACGGCUUGCGGGUGCGGGCACACCUGAUUUGGUGCACCAGCAGCCUUGUGGAGGUUUGAACUCAACUCGCGCAUCGCCCGAAUGGCACCCGAGCCCUCGGGGCUCCAAACCAAACAUGCACGCAAGUCUAAAAACAACAUACGGACUUGCUCGCGCGAUCAAAUCGCAAAAAUAACACCUAAAACUAUGAAUUUAGCACUAAAUCGAAUGAAAUUCUGAAGAACACUUUAAAGUUUCUAUUUUCUCAACUGGACGUCCGAAUCACGUCAAAUCAACUCCGUUUCUCACCAAAUUUCACAGACAAGUCUUAAAUAUCAUAAUGAACCAGUACCGGGCUCCGAAACCAGACUACAGACCCGGCACUAACAAUGCCAAACACCAAUCAAUUCUUAAAAAUAAUUAAAUUUUUAGACUUUUAAUUUUCAUCAAAAAUUCAUAACUUGAGCUAGGAACCUCCAAAUUCGAUUCCGGGCAUACGCCCAGUUCCCAUAAUUUGACACGGACCCACCGGGACCGUCAAAAUACGGAUUCGGACCCGUUUACCAAAAAUGCUGACCGAAAUCAAUUAAAAUCAACCUUUAAGGCAAAAAUUUCUAUUUUCAUUAGUUUUCAACAUAAAAGCUUUCCGGAAACAUGCCCGGACUGCGCACGUAAAUUGAGGAGGGUAAAAAUAAGAUUUUUUUAAAGGUUUAAGAGCGCAUAUUCGAGUUCUAAAACAUAAAAUGACCUUUUGGGUCAUCACAUUCUCCACCUCUAAAAUAACCGUUCGUACUCGAACGGACAUAGAAAAGUACCUGGGCUGGAGAAAAGGUGGGGAUAUCUACUCCGCAUAUCGGACUCGGACUCCCAAGUAGCUGCCUCAAUAGGCUGCCCCUCCACUGCACUCGAACUGAAGGGUAACUCUUUGAUCUCAACUGGUGAACUUGCCGGGCUAGAAUUGCCACCGGCUCCUCUUCGUAAGCCAAAUCCUUGUCCAACUGGACAGAGCUGAAAUCUAACACAUGGGACAGAUCACCGUGAUACUUUCGAAGCAUGGACACAUGGAAUACCGGAUGAACAACUACUAAACUAGGUGACAACGCAAGCCUGUAAGCCACCUCUCAAAAGGUCCGAUAUACCUUGGGCUCAACUUGCCCUUCUUUCGGAACCUCAUUACACCCUUCAUGGGUGAUACCCGAAGUAACACUCUCUCUCCGACCAUGAAUGCAACAUCACGAACUCUACGGUCGGCAUAACUCUUCUACUUGGACUGAGUUAUGCGAAGUCGAUCCUGAAUAAUCUUGACCUUAUCUAAGGCAUCCUGUACUAAGUCUGUGCCCAACAAUCAAGCGUCUCUUGACUCGAACCACCCAACUGGCAAACGGCAUCGCCUUCCGUAUAAUGCCUCAUAUGGAGCCAUCUGAAUGCUCGACUGGUAACUAUCAUUAUAAGCAAACUCCGCAAGUGGCAAGAAAUGAUCCCAAGAACCUCCAAAGUCUAUAACACAAGCGCGAAGUAUAUCUUCCAAUAUCUAAAUAGUGCGCUCUAACUGCCUGUCCAUCUGAGGAUGGAAUGCAGUGCUCAGCUCAACCCGCGUACCCAACACAUGCUAUACUGCCCUCCAGAAGUGCGAGGUGAACUGUGUACCUCGAUCAGAUAUAAUGGACACGGGCACACCGUGAAGACGGACGAUCUCCCGGAUGAAAAUCUCUACCAACCGCUCCGAGGAAUAGGUAACUGCCACAGGAAUGAAAUGCGCUGACUUAGUCAGCCUGUCCACAAUGACCCAAACUGCAUCGAACUUCCUCUGAGUCCGUGGGAGUCCAACAACAAAAUCCAUAGUGAUACGCUCCCACUUCCACUCAGGAAUCUCUAACCUCUGAAGUAAACCAUCAGGUCUCUGAUGCUCACACUUUACCUGCUGACAAUUUAGGCACUGAGCUACAUAGGCAACUAUGUCUUUCUUCAUCCUCCUUCACCAAUAACGCUGCCGCAGGUCCUGGUACAUCUUGGAAGCGCCCCGGGUGAAUAAAAUACUGAGAACUAUGAGCCUCCUCAAGGAUCAACUCACGAAGCCCAUCCAUAUUAGGCAUACAAAUACGACCAUGCAUCCUCAAAACUCCAUCAUCUCCAACAGUAACCUGCUUGGAACCACUGUGUCGCACUGUGUCUCUAAGGACAUGUAAAUGAGGAUCGUCAUCCUGCCGAUCUUUGAUGCGCUCAAACAAAGAAGAUCGAGCAACUGUACAAGCUAAGACACGGUUGGGCUCAGAAACAUCCAACCUCACGAACUGGUUGGCCAACGCCUGAACAUCCAAUGCAAGAGGUCUCUCACCAACUGGAAUAUUUUCAAGUCUACCCAUACUGACUGACUUCCUAAUCAAAGCAUCGGCCACCACAUUGGCCUUCCUAGGAUGAUACAAUAUGGUGAUAUCAUAGUCUUUCAAUAGCUCCAGCCACCUCCUCUGCCUCAAAUUGAGUUCCUUCUGCUUGAACAAAUACUGCAAGCUCCGAUGAUCAGUGAAUACCUCACAUGGCACGCCAUAAAGGUAGUGCCUCCAAAUCUUCACCGCGUGAACAAUAGCUGCCAGCUCUACAUCAUGAACAAGGUAAUUCUUCUCGUGAACCUUCAGCUGCCGCGAAGCAUAUGCAAUAACCUUGCCACCCUGCACCAACACCGCAUCCAGACCAAUACGGGUUGCGUCACAAUAUACUGUAAAAUAUUAUGAACCUGUGGGUAACACCAAUACCGGUGCCGUAGUCAAAGCUGUCUUGAGCUUCUGAAAGCUCGCUUUACACUCGGCUGACCACCUGAACGGGGCACCCUUCUGGGUCAAUCUGGUCAACGGGGCUGCUAUGGAUGAAAAACCCUCCAAAUAUCGGCGGUAAUAGCCCGCCAAACCCAGGAAACUACGGAUCUAUGUAGCCGAUGUGGGUCUGGCCAGUUCUGAACUACCUCAACCUUCUUAGGAUCCACCUGAAUACCCUUUGUUGAUACAACGUGACCCAAGAAAGCAACGGAACUCAACCAAAACUCGUAUUUUGAGAACUUAGCAUAUAACUGGCUGUCUUUUAGAGUCUGAAGAACGAUCCGAAGGUGCUGCUCAUGCUCCUCUCGACUAUGGGAGUAGAUCAAAUAAACACAACGACAAAGGAAUCCAAGUAGGGUUUGAACACCCGGUUGAUCAAACCCAUGAAUGUUGCUGGAGCAUUUGUCAGCCCAAAUGACAUCACUAGAAACUCAUAAAUCCCAUACUGAGUCCGAAAAGUUGUCUUAGGAACAUCGGAUGCCCUAAUCCUCAACUGAUGGUAGCCAGAUCUCAAAUCAAUCUUUGAAAACACCUUGGUACCCUGAAGUUGAUCAAAGAAAUCAUCAAUCCUCGGCAAUGGAUACUUGUUCUUGAUGGUGACUUUGUUCAACUGCCGAUAAUCUAUACACAUCUUCAUCGAUCCAUCUUUCUUCUUCACAAACAACACAGGUGCACCCCAGGGCGAGACACUUGGUCUAAUGAAGCCCUUAUCAAUCAAAUAUUGCAACUGCUCCUUCAAUUCUUUCAACUCUGGCGGGGCCAUACGAUAUGGCGGAAUGGAAAUAGGUUGAGUGCCCGGAGCCAAAUCAAUGCAAAAAUCAAUAUCCCUGUCUGGUGGCAUCCCCGACAGGUUUGCAGGAAACACCUCUGGAAACACACAAACAACCGGCACCAAAUCUAUGGAAGGAACCUCCACACUAAAAUCAUGGACAUAAGCCAAAUAAGCUAGACACCCCUUCUCGACCAUGUGCCGAGCCUUCACAUAAGAGAUAACCCUGCUGGCAGAAUGGCCAAGAUUCCCUCUCCACUCUAAUCGAGACAACCCCUGGAAGGAUAAGGUCACCGUCUUGGCGUGACAAUCUAAUAUAGCAUGAUAAGGUGAUAGCCAAUCCAUACCCAGUAUGACAGAAAAAUCAACCAUGUCGAGAAGUAGAAGAUCUACAUGAGUCUCAAGACUCCCAAUGGUGACCACACACGAACGAUAAACACGAUCUACAACAACAGCAUCUCCCACUAUUGUGGACACAUACACAGGAUCACUCAAAUAAUCAUGGGGCACAACCAAAUAGGAAGCAAAAUAGGAUGACACAUAGGAGUAAGUAGAUCCCGGAUCAAAUAGAACUAAAGCAUCUCUACUGCAAACUGAAACAGUACCUUUGAUAAUAGCGUUAGGUGACUCAGCCUCAGGCCUGGCUGGGAAAGCAUAACACCGGGGUUGGGCCCCACCACCCUGAACUACGUCCCUGGGACGGCCUCUAGCUGGCUGGUAUCCACCUCUAACGGCCUGACCUUCACCUCUAACUGUCUGGCCCCUACCUAUGGCUGGCUGACCCCUGCCUCUGGCUGGCUGAGCAGGUGGUGCAGCAACUGGUGCCGAAAUCAUGAAAUGAGAAUUCUGAUGCUGUGAGCUNNNNNNNNNNNNNNNNNNNNNNNNNNNNNNNNNNNNNNNNNNNNNNNNNNNNNNNNNNNNNNNNNNNNNNNNNNNNNNNNNNNNNNNNNNNNNNNNNNNNNNNNNNNNNNNNNNNNNNNNNNNNNNNNNNNNNNNNNNNNNNNNNNNNNNNNNNNNNNNNNNNNNNNNNNNNNNNNNNNNNNNNNNNNNNNNNNNNNNNNNNNNNNNNNNNNNNNNNNNNNNNNNNNNNNNNNNNNNNNNNNNNNNNNNNNNNNNNNNNNNNNNNNNNNNNNNNNNNNNNNNNNNNNNNNNNNNNNNNNNNNNNNNNNNNNNNNNNNNNNNNNNNNNNNNNNNNNNNNNNNNNNNNNNNNNNNNNNNNNNNNNNNNNNNNNNNNNNNNNNNNNNNNNNNNNNNNNNNNNNNNNNNNNNNNNNNNNNNNNNNNNNAACAGUCAUACUGCCCUGCUGAAGAUGCUCAAACUGAUGGCAACGCUCCUCUCUCAAUGUGAUAGGCAGAAAUUUCUCUAUAAAGAGCUGAGAGAACUGGUCCCAAGUAAGAGCAGGCGACCCAACUGGUCUGGUCAACAAGUAAUCUCUCUACCAUUUCUUAGCGGAACCAGUCAUCUGGAAUGCAGCAAAAUCGACCCCAUUAGUCACCACUAUACCCAUGUUUCGUAGAACCUCGUGACAGCUGUCAAGAUACUCCUGGGGGUCCUCUGAAGGAGAACCACUGAAGUGAACAGGAAAGAGAUUGGUAAACCUGUCCAAUCUCCAUAAAGCCUCAGAAGACAUAGCUGGCCCAUCUCCGACCUGUGCCGCAAUAACCGGCUGAAUUAAUCCGACUGGCUGAGCUGCUGGAGCCUGAUACUGGGGAGCUAUCUGCUCAGGAAGGGGAGUGGUGGGAGUCUGGGCUCCUCCUCUAGCCUAAGAGACUGCUGGUGCCAUGGGAAAUGCGCCAGUCUGGGCCACACUCUCCAUAGGACCUACCAAACGGACCAAAGCGUCCUCAAGUACUAGGGUAGCAAUGAACCACUCCGGAACCUGAGCUGGUCCGGCAGGAACAGUCUGGACUGGAACCUCCUCGUCAAGCUCUAUCUGAGGCUCUACUACUGGGGCUACUGCUCGGGCUCUAAGCUCAGCCCGGCCCCUUCCUCGGCCUCUGGCACGGCCUCGGCCUUGACCUCUGCCCCGCAUAGGAGCUGCCACUGGAGGCUCUGGCUGCUGCUCAAUUGAGGAAGCGGUACGUGUUCUCGCCAUCUACGAGAGAACAAGAGUAGAAAAGUUCAAUCAGUAUUGAGAAAGCAAAAUUGCAUGACAGAGAACAAUAGAAGUGAAACUUGUUCCUAAACUUCAUAGCCUCUGGAAGAUAAGUACAGACGUCUCCGUACCAAUCCUCCAGACUGUACUAAGCUUGCUCGUGAAUCAUGAGACCUAGGCAACCUAGUGCUUUGAUACCAAUUGUCACGACCCAAAAUUUCUCACCGAUGGGACCGUGAUGGCGCCUAACAUUUCUCUUGCUAGGCAAGCCAACGUUAGAAAAUCAUUAAACCAAUUCCUUAUUCCCAUUCAGUAAUUAACAAUAAUUAACUAUGAUGAAAUAUAAUAAGUGCGGAAUAUCAUAAAACUGUAUUAAUUACUGCCACCCGAAUCUGGAGUCACAAUUCACAAGCAUUCUAGAAUUUACUACAAGUAAUAGUCUGAAAGAAAUACAACUGUCUGAAUGAAAGAAAACAGUAGGGCAUAAAAGAUAGACAGGGACUUCAAGGUCUGUGAAUGCCGACAGAUCUACCUUGAGUCUCCAGACAGCGGACUAAUAAUAAAAUCUCGAUCAACCUGAGCCGGUGUCAAAAUAUUCACAUAAAGUGCAGAGUGCAGCAUCAGUACAACCGACCCCAUGUACUGGUAAGUGUAGAGCCUAACCUCGACGAAGUAGUGACGAGACUAAGGCAGGGAACCUACAAAUCAACUUGUAUAAUUUAACAGUGUAUAUACAAAUAACAUAAAUGAAGAACUAAACAGAAAUUGUCGGGAGGGGAACAUACUGAGGGGAAUACAAGAUAAAGAACUAUAACAGAAUGAUCACCGGAGCAGGAAAUAUAUCAUAAAUCAACAGGAAUAGUGAAUACAGUAAGGAAAGAUGCAUGGCAUCACCCUUCCUACUUUUACUCUCAAUCUCACCAUGAAAUUAAUAGAAACGGCACAGCAUCACCCUCUGUGCAUUAACUCACAUAUUAUGGCACGACAUCACCCUUCGUGCAUUAACUCUCACAAUAUGGCACGACAUCACCCUUGGUGCAUUAACACUCACAUUCUGGUACGGCAUCACCCUUCGUGCAUUAACACUCACAAUAUGGCACGGCAUCAUACUUCGUGCAUUAACACUUUCCCUUACCAUAAUGCAAUGCAUAAAUAACAACAUGUAGAUAGAAUAACAAGUACAAACCUUACUUCAGCAUUUGGUUCCAUAAUAUAAAUCUUAAAUUUUAAAUAAAAACUCAAUUAUCAUAAGAAAAUCCGUAAACAUGAUAAGAACGAUAAAUUGAACAACACUAGUAUAACACGUAGAAAUUUGGCAUAGGAAAGAGACAAUAUAAGAAAAAAUCGGUAAACUGGUGGUUCAUAAGUAUUUGUCACCUCACAUACCCGCCGCUCACACGGAUUUAACUUAGCAAGUAAUCUAAGGUUCCUAAUUCCCUCAAGUCAGGGUUAGACAUAACACUUACCUCGCUCCGAAGGUCACUUAAUUCUCAAUCACAGCUUUUCCUUUGGAAUUCACCUCCAAACAA
rnacentral:lncRNA from 1 species